AAAUGUUAAAUCUAAAUCUAAAUCUAAAUGUUAAAUCUAAAUGUCUAUCCAAAAAGUCUUCCUCCCUCUGCAACUUCAUCGGUGGCUGUGGCAGCGUCCGCCCCAAAGGAGCAGUAUCAUGUGUGCGCCUGCAUGUGUGUGUGCGUGUGUUCGUACAGUGUCCGCGCCACACGGAGAAGCGACACUGAAAACUCGAGUCUUUCUGAUAAAGUUUUUGUUGUUGCUGUUGCUAUUGUAGGUAGUUAUUAACACGAAACGUCACCCCAAGUAUUUGUUCCCCCCUUAAAUUGGUUUGAAUUCGUUUUCUUCGACACAAGAAUCAUCAAUAUGACCUUCUGGAGCUUUUAUUUUGGCACUUCCAGUUUCCGACCGUGAAUUUGCAUAUUAGCUAAAUAUUUAGUGUCGCCCAACACAUUUAGAUUUAAGAUUUAGAUUUAGAUUUAACAUUUACAUUUAACAUUUAGAUUUAACAUUUACAUUUAACAUUUAGAUUUAACAUUUACAUUUAACAUUUACAUUUAACAUUUAGAUUUAUAUUUAACAUUUAGAUUUAGAUUUAACAUUUACAUUUAACAUUUACAUUUAACAUUUACCAUUAAACAUUUAGAUUUAACAGUUAGAUUUAGAUUUUACAUUUAGAUUAAGAUUUUACAUUUAGAUUUAACAUUUAGAUUUAGAUUUAACAUUUACAUUUAACAUUUAAAAUUUAGAUUUAACAUUUACAUUUAACAUUUACAUUUAACAUUUACAUUUAACAUUUACAUUUAACAUUUAACAUUUAGAUUUAACAUUUAUAUUUAGAUUUAACAUUUAUAUUUAGAUUUAACAUUUACAUUUAACAUUUAGAUUUAACAUUUACAUUUAACAUUUACAUUUAACAUUUACAUUUAACAUUUAACAUUUAGAUUUAACAUUUAGAUUUAGAUUUAACAUUUAGAUUUAGAUUUAACAUUUAGAUUUAGAUUUAACAUUUACAUUUAACAUUUAGAUUUAACAUUUACAUUUAACAUUUAGAUUUAACAUUUACAUUUAACAUUUAGAUUUAACAUUUACAUUUAACAUUUAGAUUUAACAUUUACAUUUAUAUUUAACAUUUAGAUUAAACAUAUGUGUUUAACAUUUAUAUUUAGCAAUUAGAUUUAACAUUUAGUUUUAGUAUUUAAAUGUUGACUGCUGAAAAUUCACAUCACUGUUUUAAAUGCUGUUUGAAGCUAAAUGUGACCAAAUCUUGCUGUUGUUUUUUAUAAUGGGCUGUUAAAUCUAAAUGUUAAAUAUAAAUCUAAAUGUUAAAUAUAAGUCUAAAUGUUAAAUCUAAAUCUAAAUCUAAAUGUUAAAUCUAAAUGUCUAUCUAAAAAGUCUUCCUCCCUCUGCAACUUCAUCGGUGGCUGUGGCAGCGUCCGCCCCAAAGGAGCAGUAUCAUGUGUGCGCCUGCAUGUGUGUGUGCGUGUGUUCGUACAGUGUCCGCGCCACACGGAGAAGCGACACUGAAAACUCGAAGACUUUCUGAUAAAGUUUUUGUUGUUGCUGUUGCUAUUGUAGGUAGUUAUUAACACGAAAUGUCACCCCAAGUAUUUGUUCCCCCCUUAAAUUGGUUUGAAUUCGUUUUCUUCGACACAAGAAUCAUCAAUAUGUCCUUCUGGAGCUUUUAUUUUGGCACUUCCAGUUUCCAGCCGUGAAUUUGCAUAUUAGCUAAAUAUUUAGUGUCGCCCAACACAUUUAGAUUUAACAUUUACAUUUAACAUUUAGAUUUAUCAUUUAGAUUUAGAUUUAACAUUUACAUUUAACAUUUAGAUUUAAC